rnacentral:rRNA from 1 species
AUUGAACGCUGGCGGCAUGCCUUACACAUGCAAGUCGAACGGCAGCACGGGUGCUUGCACCUGGUGGCGAGUGGCGAACGGGUGAGUAAUACAUCGGAAUGUACCUUGUAGUGGGGGAUAGCUCGGCGAAAGCCGGAUUAAUACCGCAUACGCUCUGAGGAGGAAAGCGGGGGACCUUCGGGCCUCGUGCUACAAGAGCAGCCGAUGUCAGAUUAGCUUGUUGGUGAGGUAAAAGCUCACCAAGGCGACGAUCUGUAGCUGGUCUGAGAGGACGACCAGCCACACUGGGACUGAGACACGGCCCAGACUCCUACGGGAGGCAGCAGUGGGGAAUUUUGGACAAUGGGCGAAAGCCUGAUCCAGC